rnacentral:rRNA from 1 species
GAUGAACGCUGGCGGCGUGCCUAAUACAUGCAAGUCGAGCGAACAGACGAGGAGCUUGCUCCUCUGACGUUAGCGGCGGACGGGUGAGUAACACGUGGAUAACCUACCUAUAAGACUGGGAUAACUUCGGGAAACCGGAGCUAAUACCGGAUAAUAUAUUGAACCGCAUGGUUCAAUAGUGAAAGACGGUUUUGCUGUCACUUAUAGAUGGAUCCGCGCCGCAUUAGCUAGUUGGUAAGGUAACGGCUUACCAAGGCAGCGAUGCGUAGCCGACCUGAGCGCGUGAUCGGCCACACGGGAACUGAGACACGGCCCAGACUCCGGCGGGAGGCAGCAGUAGGGAAUCUUACGCAAUGGGCGAAAGCCUGACGGAGCAACGCCGCGUGAGGGAUGAAGGUCUUCGGAUCGUAAAGCUCUGUUAUUAGGGAAGAACAAAUGUGUAAGUAACUAUGCACGUCUUGACGGUACCUAAUCAGAAAGCCACGGCUAACUACGUG